AACGUACGUUUUGUCUUUAUUUGUUCAUACACUGUGUUAUUCAUUAAUCAUGGGUAUUCAUAAUUUCACACCAUACGUUUGUAAACCCUGGAUUUCGUUCAUUUAAAAUAUUUAUAAGGUCAAUAAGUAAGUUUUGGAUGAACACAAGUCACGACAGCAGAGAGCAGGGUUGUAUUGCAGCAAAACUGGUGAUCUAAUUACCAGCAGUUUCUGUCAUCCCACCAGAUGGCGCUCUCAAAAGUUUCUGGGCUAUUUGAACAAAGACCCUGUUGAGUUGUGAAUACUUCAAAGAACAGUGGAAACAAGUAUGUCUGUGUAACAUCACGCAGUAGCUUCAUGUAUGGAUACUAAGAGUCAGUACAGUGACCCCUCUAUAAGCCGCAGACCUCAGCACAGUCGGUUUGCACAUUGACAGGCUCCACUCCCUGUGGGUUUGGCCUGGAUUUGACCCGCAGCUUGUGGGUGCUCAUGGGAGGAAGGUAGAUGGAUAGCAGGCUGUAGAAGUGGAGAGGGCAGCUGUGGUGUUGUGGCUACAGCAUGCUGUCCCAUUAGUACACCCCUGGGAAGGGACAGACCUGGAGGACAAGAAGACAAGUCUGGAUUAGCUCAUAAAUCACAACCCAGGGGACCCAAGAGAUGCUGUGACAUCAUCAUUCAGAGACAGACCGCUGGGUUGACUACAUACUCCCUGCUAGUGUAUCUGUGGUCACGCAGUGAUCCAGCAUUGGCUGGCGGCCCUGACCUCAGCUCUUCCCAGCUGGUGCAUGGGACGGCGGGCACUGCCAGGCCGCAGUUAUACCUAAAUGGGCUGAAAGCGCAGACACCGCAAUGUGCCCGUGUGUGUGUGUGUCCGCAGCGAAAGGGGAUGUGGUUGUUUCACCAGCGACCCUGCUAUACCAAUGCCACAUACCGGUGCAGGCCCACCCAAGAGCUCCAAAACACCAGUAACCCAAUUACCCACCCAGCACCUGGCAACAACGCUGCAGUGGCUUGAAUCGUGGCUGUGCAUCAAAGGUAAAGAGCUCUACCAAAUGUGGUGCUUUCUGUCCGCUCUAAUUCACGUCAACUCCAAAGCCUCCGCGCUCACUGUAACAGCAGCGCAGUGCUGAGGGACGAACGCUUUGUGUUUAAUGAAAGCCGACACCUCACUCUUAAACCCAUUGGCUAGAGGUUGAUGGAGUGGAAGAGUGCUUCUCUCCAAGGUACUGCAGGCCCAGAUCUCUCAUUGAGACGUCUCAAGGCGCUGGGGGCAGAAACUGUGUGUCACCCAGGAUCUGAGAUGCCCUGAGGGUCAGGCUUAUCUGGAGAUAUCAAAUGGGAAGAUUCAGGAGUCAAACCAGCUUAUAUUCUGUGUUGUACCGUGUCCCACAGCCCAGCUGUUUUGUGUGACGGUAAAUGCAGAUUUUGUGCA